rnacentral:misc_RNA from 1 species
AAAGUCGUAACAAGGUCUCCGUAGGUGAACCUGCGGAGGGAUCAUUAACACGUAUCCAAACGUUAUAAACCAAAACCGUGCUCUUUCGUAAGUCAUAGAUGGAAUUCUACUAUGGAAACAUAGUGGUCUACUUACAAUCUAUCGGUCAUAAGACCAACUGACUCUCUAUAGUGUAUACAAGCCAUCUGGUUAUAUGUGCCAACCCGGCUCGACCCGGAGCCAUAUAACCUUAGUAAACCCCCAACCUUUUUUUUACCCCUUUCAUAAUAUUAACAACUGACUUAACUUUUCUGAAUUGUAAUGAUUUAGAAAGUAUACGAAACGCGAACAACUCUUAGCAAUGGAUAUCUUGGUUCUC